GAGUUUGAUCCUGGCUCAGGACGAACGCUGGCGGCGUGCCUAAUACAUGCAAGUCGAGCGGACCUUUUAAAAGCUUGCUUUUGAAAGGUCAGCGGCGGACGGGUGAGUAACACGUGGGCAACCUGCCUGUAAGACUGGGAUAACUUCGGGAAACCGGAGCUAAUACCGGAUAAUAUAAGGAACCUCCUGGUUCUUUAUUGAAAGAUGGUUUCGGCUAUCACUUACAGAUGGGCCCGCGGCGCAUUAGCUAGUUGGUGAGGUAACGGCUCACCAAGGCAACGAUGCGUAGCCGACCUGAGAGGGUGAUCGGCCACACUGGGACUGAGACACGGCCCAGACUCCUACGGGAGGCAGCAGUAGGGAAUCUUCCACAAUGGACGAAAGUCUGAUGGAGCAACGCCGCGUGAGCGAUGAAGGCCUUCGGGUCGUAAAGCUCUGUUGUUAGGGAAGAACAAGUGCGAGAGUAACUGCUCGCACCUUGACGGUACCUAACCAGAAAGCCACGGCUAA
rnacentral:rRNA from 1 species